AUUGAACGCUGGCGGAAUGCUUUACACAUGCAAGUCGAGCGGCAGCGCGGCCUUCGGGCUGGCGGCGAGCGGCGAACGGGUGAGUAAUGCAUCGGAACAUGCCCAGUCGUGGGGGAUAACACUUCGAAAGAAGUGCUAAUACCGCAUACGUCCUGAGGGGGAAAGCGGGGGAUCGCAAGACCUCGCGCGAUUGGAGUGGCCGAUGUCAGAUUAGCUAGUUGGUGGGGUAAAGGCCUACCAAGGCGACGAUCUGUAGCUGGUCUGAGAGGAUGAUCAGCCACACUGGGACUGAGACACGGCCCAGACUCCUACGGGAGGCAGCAGUGGGGAAUUUUGGACAAUGGGGGCAACCCUGAUCCAGCCAUUCCGCGUGAGUGAAGGAGGCCUUCGGGUUGUAAAGCUCUUUCGGCGGGAACGAAACGGUGGGCUCUAACAUAGUCCGCUAAUGACGGUACCUGAAGAAGAAGCACCGGCUAACUACGUG
rnacentral:rRNA from 1 species